UGGACCAACGGCUGGCUGAGUGUGUGUGUGUGACAGAGAGAGAGAGAGAAAUAGGCGCAAUAGAGAGGAAAGAGAAGCGCGUGUCCGGCGACAUAAACUAGUUUAGCUAAUCCCCUGAGGAAACAUCACUGUCGUCGCGUGUUUUAAUCACAUGAACAGGGCAGCAGCACACAAAACAGACGGAGGUAACAAAAAAAGUUAAUAAAUGAAGUUUUAACGAGAGGCGGAGCUGAGCUGGGAAGGAAGCCGGAGAAGACGGACCUGCUGAAGUAACGUUGGCGUUAAGUUAACUAUCUAACGCUCUUGUUUUGCGCUCUUAUUUAUUAUUGACAUUUUAAAAGCUUUAUAUAUUUAUACGCCACGUUUUUAGUGCACGCAUGGGAGGCCAGGAUACUCAGCUUACGUUAGCUAACCUACUUAAUUAAAACAGCAUGAACUUUUCUCCUGAGUCACUGUGGGAGAGAUUCAAACCCAGUCCGUGAGGUGAGUGCACUAAUCCGAUUAACUGCCAGAGCUAGGUUAGCUAAUUUAUUAAGUAAUAAUAAUAGCUAUAAUGAUAAGAAGCAAAGUUCUGGACGCCGUUUUCUAACCUACUUUGCAAGAAGACAACGCACAAGGAGAGCCGCCAGAAAUUUCCUCAAACUCCAUGACUCCGGGAGGACCAACAAUAUCGUUUGCAUAAAGUACACAAUUCAAAAUGACUGUGAAACUGGACUUCGAAGAGGGCCUGAAAGACUCCCCCAGAUUCAGGGCGGAAAUUGAGGUGGUGGAGGGGGAUGUGAAUGAACUGGAGACUCGUCUCGAAAAGUUGGUGAAGCUAUGUGCCUCCAUGCUGGAUGCAGGCCGAACAUACUGCCAAAGCAGCAAAAGCUUUGUGAGUGGGCUCAGGGACCUAGGACACCACUAUUCCCAUGAUAAAUCUUUGGGGGACUGUUUAGAAAAGUUUUCCAAAAAGCUGUUCUUCAUCCUCACUGCUCAGGAGGAGCUUAUUGAAGCCACACAGAAAUCAGUGAGAUUGAAGCUGCAGGGUUUUGUGAAGGAGGAUGUGAAGCGCUUCAAAGAUGUACGGAAGGAGUUUGAGCGCAGUAGUGAGACUCUGGAGGCGGCACUGGGGAGAAAUGCCCAGGCUCCACGGGGGAAACAGCAUGAGGUAGAGGAGGCUAGCCUGGCCCUGCUGAACGCCCGCAGAACCUUCAGAUCAGAGGCUCUGGACUAUGUGCUGCAGAUCAAUGUCAUUGAGUCCAAGAAGAAGACUGAAAUACUGAUGGCGAUGCUCUCACUGAUGGAGGCCCAGGCUCUGUUCUUCCAGCAGGGCUACCAGUCCCUCAAUGAACUGGAAGAAUACCGCAGGCAGCUCAGUGAUGAGCACACACAACUAGUUCUGAACUCUGCCAGAGAGAAAAGGGACAUGGAACAGAGGCACGCUGCCAUCAAGAAGAAGGACAUGUCUUAUGACGACUUAAUCAUGGACUUCAGUCCAGAUGCCCCCAGUGGUAUCGUCAUGGAGGGCUACCUCUACAAGAGAGCAAGCAAUGCCUUCAAAACCUGGAGCAGGCGGUGGUUCUCCAUUCAGAAAAACCAGCUGGUCUACCAAAAGAAAUUUAAAGAGCAGCCGACAGUAGUGGUGGAGGACUUGCGACUGUGCACGGUGAAGCCCUGCAACGAGCAAGAGAGAAGAUUCUGCUUUGAGGUUGUCUCUCCGUCCAAGAGCUGUCUAUUGCAGGCAGAUUCAGAGCGACAGCAGCAGGCCUGGAUGAGUGCUGUACAGAACAGCAUUGCCUCAGCAUUUCAGGAGAGGAGAGAGGACACACAGAGCCCUAGAGAGCGCUGCAGUUCAGUAUCAGCAGGCAGUUUGAACUUGUCUGGCGUGGAGCAGCAAGAUUCAGGCUGUAAGGCGCUGGAGGAGGUGCAGGCUAUACCAGGGAACGGUCACUGCUGCGACUGCGGAGAGCCAGGACCAGACUGGGCUUCCAUUAACCUGGGCAUAACACUCUGUAUUACCUGCUCUGGAAUCCACAGGAGUCUGGGUGUCCAUUUUUCUAAAGUACGCUCUCUAACUCUGGACACUUGGGAGCCUGAACUCAUCAAGCUGAUGUGUGAAUUAGGAAACGCUGCUAUUAACCGGAUCUAUGAGGCACGCAUUGAUGAGAUCACUAUAAAGAAACCACACCCCUCCAGUCCCAGGCAGGAUAAGGAGUCAUGGAUACGCUCAAAAUAUGUGGAGAAGAAAUUUAUUCACAAGCUUCCUGAAACCGGUCGUGCCCCACCCCUGCGCCGCUCUAGUGCUCGCCGUAACCGAGCAACCACGCAAGAAAAACCAGGCAUACGCCCCGCCCUCAAACCCAAACCCAGCAGAGCCACCCUGCCACGCCUCACAGGCCUGAAUCCAAGUGAAAUAAUGAAGAACAGUAUAGACAAAGAAGACGAAGAGGAAGAUUUGAGUGGUCUUCACCCCGGCGCUCUUCUCUACCGCUCCGCGGCGCUUCAGCACUUUCCGGUCAUGGCCGACGCUCUGGCCCACGGUGCUGACGUCAACUGGGUUAAUGUAGCCGAGGAGAGCAAAACACCUCUCAUACAGGCCGCCAGCGUGAAUUCUCUGGCAGCGUGCGAGUUCCUGCUACAGAACGGUGCUAACGUUAACCAGGUGGACUCUGAUGGAAGAGGACCCUUGCACCAUGCCACUAUACUGGGGCAUACAGGGCUGGUGUGUCUAUUUCUGAAGAGAGGAGCGGACUACAACGCAAAGGAUAUUAACCAGAAAGACCCGAUCACCAUAGCAGUAGAGAGCGCCAACGCUGACAUUGUUACACUCCUUCGAAUAGCCAAGAUGAACAAAGAGAUGCGAGAGAUGGACGGCUUCGCCCAAUCAGGUCACUCUGAGGGCUAUGCUGGUGGGGGCGGGUCUGGGGAUCUGAUUGUUCAGACCAAGAAAAGCUUUCAGGCACUCAAAAACCACCUUAGUGGCAAAUGAGUGUCAGUAGAAAUGCUGCUUCAGAACCAAGUGCCAUGCUGUGAAGUUUUUUAGACACUUUCUUCUUACGCAAUGUGACAAAACACUACAGAAACACACAAGCACUUAAACAAAGCCAACCACAGUGUGUUAGAAUAAGCCAUAUUUAUAUUAUCAUUUUGUAAUAUGUAAUCUAAUGUAAACAUGCUGUACAGUCUGUGGAUAUAGAUAUUUAAUGCCUCGUACAUAUGUACGUAAGUAAUGUGUUGUCAAGCACUUUUUCUGUUUGUUUGUUGUUGUUUUUUUUAAGUUUUUAUUCAUUGUUAUUUUAUUCAUGGUAAACUGAAUAGAUGAGUCUUAAGCUAAAGCUGGAUACAAUGAAAGCAUUAAAAAGGGAUUGAGGGAUUGUCUCAAAAGGGAACUUUUGGAAUAUAUAUUUUUUUAUUGAAUUAUUUUUUUUACUUAAGUAGUUUGUUUUGAAGAAUCAAUAUUUUUAUUUUUUAUUAUCAAGUAGUUAAUCACAGGCCAUUUCUUAAUUAAAGAGCAGGUGACGUGUUCAGUAAGCUCUGUAUUUGCUUUUGGAGUGUAAUGCUUUGACGUACGUGCAGUUGUGCUGACUCGCAAUGUUCUUGUCUUUUGCAUCAGUUGUAUACUGAGGAGCUUCAUAAUGGCAGCUUGUCUCUAUGUCCGUGUCUGUGUGUGUAUCUGUCGCUGACUGUGGGUGUAUAUAUAUGUGUGUGUGAGUGUGUCCUGAGAUGAUCGGCCAAGUGUCCACUGCUUGCAGUGUAUCGUCUGCGCUGCGUAUCACAGGUGACGACACUUACCAUGAUAUCUUCCGAGAUUUCUCCCAAAUGGCCUCGCACAAUCCGGAGAAGCUGAAACGCCGCAGCACUGACAUGAAGACCCCAUAACCACCAGGUGGCACUGCUGCACAGGUUUUGCUCACACAGACGUGCAGGAAAAGUUGUCAACUUUGUAAAAUAUCAAUGCUCCGCCCAUAAAUGAAUUCAGAAUUUUGUACCAGCUGUUGGAAGGUUUGACUACUUUUACCCAAUAUUUCCAGAAACUAUCAUUCAGCCUAAUGAGAAUUUUUACACAACACACUCAAUGUUUUGAGUGGAUUGUGAAUUAAACAUAUUUUAUCUUAUUUUGUCUGGUUUAUGAAGGGUCUCACAAAAUAGAAAUAUAAGGGUGUAGUUUUCUGUGUUGUUUGAUUAAGCUAAUGUUAGAAGUUACAUAGUUACAAUUACAAUUGGUGUAGCACUUUAUACUGGAAAUAAAAGGUUCUGUAGCACUUUUAAACGUGAUGCACAGUAGUUUCUCAUUAGAGUAAGAAAGAGAUUGAAUGAUAUAUUUUUCCAGCAUUCUGUAAAGCUUGUCCAGCCUUGCAACAGUUGCUAUGAAAGAGCACAUUUGUGGGAGGAGCAUAGGUAGGUCAGUAGCCUCUUGCUUUUAUGCCAUCUCACCUAGAUGGCCAUGAUGCAAGAGCAGAAAGCGUCCAGCUUGCACUUAUCAGCUGUAGUGUGUGUGUGUGUGUGUGUGUGUGUGUGUGUGUGUGUGUGUGUGUUUAGUCAUUUUGAUCUUUGAGCCUGAGUCACACUAGGCCCGAGUGAGCAGUUCAGCUCAUAGCUGUAUAAUAGAGCUCUUGUCAUUAAGCCACCAUAGUGUGUCAUCUCGUCCUGUUAUCACCAGCAUUCUCCUAACCCAUAUUGGUACGGAUAAGGGCUCUGAGGGCAGUUUUAGCCCGUAGCUGUUCAGUAAAGUUGCACUGCUCACGGUUCUGUUUCCCCACAUUCAUUUAUUCCAGCAAUAUCGCAAAUGACCGUUUUAUAUUUUAGAAUUUUCUUGGUGUUCCUUAAUUUCAGUGAAGGACUUACUUACACCAGUGCUUUUAUUCCACACCUUGAAACACAGUGUUGGUAGAUUUCUUACAAAUCUAACAUGAGCUGGAAGAUUUUUUAAGAUGUAUUUUUUAUUAAUUGUAUUCCUCCUGUUAUAUAAAUAUUGUAUUUUUUGCUUCCCUAUUCCAAGCAAUGCAAAAUGUAAGCACAAUCUGCUCUGGAAAAAAAAUAAACUCGCUUGCUAAUAAAUUUUCUGUCUUUCUCUAACCCUGUGA